UAAAAAGGUUUGGUAACAGAUUUGAGGCACUGAUGGCUGGAAAUAAUUUAUGACUAUUUAAAGAUGCGCGUGGACCCAAAGCAGAGCCAAGUGGGUCAAGCUCCAGGUCAAGGCCCAUCUAUAACAAGGUCACCCAAAGGCAGAUUGGCCUAGUCGUGGCUGUCACGUGAUUGGGUGGAGCCGUGGAGGUGGGUUGGGGGCAGGCGGAAUGCAUAUGUACGGGCGGGCGGCCACACCAGAAAGCGGGAAACUUCGAAUAAAGGCGUAGCCACCCAUAUUUUUAAUAAUUUAAUGUUAUUCUGUAUUUAAAUUUAGGGUUGAAUAGAUAUCUUAGAGUAGAUUCGGAUUGGUGCAUGAGCAGAGGCAAUGGCGGCUAUGGAUGAUGUUAGGGCAAGCUCCGCUUGGGUGGCUGCUCGCUCGGCUCACGUCGUCGUGGACUCCUCAGGAAUCGAGAAAGCUGUGGAGGAGAUUCAAGACUCAAUUCCCAAAGUUAAGUGGGAUUUUGAAGGGAUUCAUUACUUCGACAAUGGGCCGCUGACGGUUCAGUACUUGUUUGUUUUGGAUGCUUUGAAUUUCUGCUUUUGGCCUGACAAGGAUUUAAGUUAUGAUCAUUUGGCCUUGGGGCUGAAGGAAGCUCUGCAAAAUGACAAAUCUGUGUUUGAUUCUGAUCGUUUGCAAAAGAUCACUGGUCCUCAAUUACGCGAGUUGUUGAAAUGGCCUAGGCCACUUCCUUUGGAGAAUGAACGUGUUCGCUUACUGCAUGAGGUUGGGCUUGAACUGGAAAGAAGCUUUGAGGGAAAAGCAUCUAAACUUGUGGAGUCUUGUGGAAAAUCAGCUGCAAAUCUUGUAGCUCUUGUUACUCGCCACUUUCCUGGCUUUCGAGACCACUCAGUGUACAAAGGCCAUCAGGUGUUCUUGUACAAAAGAGCUCAGAUAUUUGCAGCCGACCUAUGGGGCGCAUUCGAGGGCCAAGGUUAUGGGGAGUUCAAUGAUAUUAGCUCAAUUACCAUAUUUGCAGACUAUAUUGUUCCAGCUGUGCUUCGACAACUUGGUGUCUUGAGAUAUAGUUCGGACUUAGCCAGCAUUAUUGAGGCUAAUAGGGAAAUAGGUUCAGGUAGUGAAGAGGAAGUCGAAUUACGGGCUUGCUCCAUAUAUGCUGUGGAGAAAAUGAGGGAGUUGCUCAGCAAAAAAUCAGGAAAUCAGGUACUGAGCGUGGAAUUGGAUCUUUGGCUCUGGUCCUUUGGCAUCCAGUGUCAAUCUCUUCAACACCAUAGGACACUGUCUAUUUACUACUGAGAGGAUUAUAUGCAAGUAAGCUUCUCAUGAUAUAUUUGUUAGGGGGAAAAAUAUUGGCUUAAACCUUUAAGGUAAUUUGCUUGGACAAGUGCAACAAUUAAUCAAUGGCGUAGUUGUUUUUACCCCCUUUUCUAGUGAAGGAUGAUUUUUUUUAAAAUUUUUUGGAAAGAUCAGCUAUGGCAAUAUGUUUACUAAUUUGAUUGACAAGUAUAAAGAUUCCUGUUUAGUUGAUUUGGUAAGACUAAUAGUUUGUGACUCUGGGGCUUCAACGAAUGGGGUUUUCUGUUAUUGGAGUAGUGUUGUAGUAAAUAGCAUUGGGACCAAAGCAACCCAUAAAAGAGGGCCUGAUAUCUAGCCAUGUAAUGGAAUACAACAACAGAUCUUGUGUUCACUGUAUGUAUCACAUAUAAUUGUUUUGUUUCAUCCAUAAAAAAGUUGAGAGUUAAUGGCCCUGGUUUUAUGGUCGCAGGUGGUUUAAUGUAUCAUGUGCUCACUGAAUUAUAUUACAUGAGAAAAUAUUUGCUGUGCAGUCUGGUACCAUAAUUUGCCUUUUUCCCUUGACCUCUGGACCUUGCAUGAACUUGUUCAGUAUGUGUUUUUGGAAUCUUUGAUAGCAAGAACUUGGCUUUGAUGAUAAAAUCAACUUGGCGAACCAGUGCUUCUAAUAACAGUUCAUGGAACCACUUGACUAAGAGAUAAAUGGUUGAUGGGUGUGUUUAUGGCAUUUGCUUUGUGAGGCAAUUAAGUACACUCUUUAUUUUCAGAAAUACACAAUGGAGUACUAGUGCAAAUACAUGUUUUGUUUUGUUGAAAUCUCACUAUCUGAAUCAGUGGGAGCAAUGUAGCAUCCUGGAAAACCUGGAGUCAUUUUAUGGUCCUAGUAUAUAUGAGCAAUGUACAACUGUUAAGCUAGUAGCAAAGUGGUGGUGGGCUCUAGAUAAUCAGAUACCUGGUCAAAGAUGGCUGUUGGGAUUGCAAGGGUUGCAACAGCAUUGGGGGAGUCCACUAUUCCUGAAAUCCUUCCUUCACAGGGGCAGCAUGAUAACAGCAGAUACAUCUGAUAGCCACCGUUAUAUCCAGUAUAUCAGCAGCUUAACAAUAUCAGGUUUAUCUUAUGUCUGUAUGCUUGGAGCUUAUAGGGUUUGGGAGAGAUAGUGGACCUGUUCUUUGGAGUAGCCAAAUUUGGAGAGAUAGUCGAUGGCAUUGAGCACUGCACGCUUGUAGGCAACACUUGCAUCAAGGUAGUGCUGUCUUCCACUUUCAUCAACACUGAUGCCUUCAAAAACCAACCAUUCUGAGAAUCUGGGUUCAACAGGGCCUAUUUCGAAGAUUGGGUUUACGUGAAGGGGAGUGGGUCCCAUUGGUGUAAGGUACUCUUUCAUUCCGCCUCUUAUGAUUUCACAUCUAAUAUCAAUAGAACAAAUGCAAUUAUCUUGGAUUAGCUUCAAACAUUAUGUGGAGUUGAAAGAAAUAGCUGUGACUAAGCUGUGUACAAUGGACUAGAACUAUAACCCUGUAGAAACAGUUCAUUUGGCAAACAUGCCAAGAGGCCCAGUUGUUAGGCGAAUAAUUUUUCUGUGAGUUAAUCUACCAAAACAUAUCUAUAUCUCUUUAUUUGUAUUGAAA